GUGAGUAACACGUGGGUGAUCUGCCUUGCACUUCGGGAUAAGCCUGGGAAACUGGGUCUAAUACCGGAUAGGACCAUGCUUUAGUGUGUGUGGUGGAAAGUUUUUCGGUGCAAGAUGAGCCCGCGGCCUAUCAGCUUGUUGGUGGGGUAAUGGCCUACCAAGGCGACGACGGGCAGCCGGCCUGAGAGGGUGUACGGCCACAUUGGGACUGAGACACGGCCCAG
rnacentral:rRNA from 1 species